UUCAGUCUCGGCCAGAUCAAGAAAGCCAUCCCACCUCAUUGCUUUCAGCGCUCUGUUAUCCGCUCCUUCUCCUAUGUCUUUUAUGACCUUACCAUUGCCUUUCUCCUGUACUACAUUGCUUGCAAUUACAUCCAGCCUCUCUCUCAACCUUUCUCUUUCUUGGCGUGGCCAGUUUACUGGUAUGUUCAGGGCUGUGUCCUGACUGGUGUUUGGGUGAUAGCGCAUGAGUGUGGUCACCAUGCUUUUAGUGAUUAUCAAUGGCUGGAUGACACAGUCGGUCUAAUCCUCCACUCUGCCCUCCUUGUGCCUUACUUUUCUUGGAAGUAUAGCCAUCGCCGUCACCACUCUAACACAGGUUCCAUUGAGCGAGAUGAGGUCUUUGUCCCCAAGCAGAAGUCUGCUAUUGGAUGGUACUCCAAAUAU
rnacentral:lncRNA from 1 species